rnacentral:rRNA from 1 species
AACGAACGCUGGCGGCAGGCUUAAUACAUGCAAGUCGAACGCAUCCUUCGGGGUGAGUGGCAGACGGGUGAGUAACGCGUGGGAACGUGCCCUUCAGUUCGGGAUAACCCAGGGAAACUUGGGCUAAUACCGGAUACGUGCGAGAGCAGAAAGAUUUAUCGCUGAAGGAUCGGCCCGCGUCUGAUUAGCUAGUUGGUGAGGUAAUGGCUCACCAAGGCGACGAUCAGUAGCUGGUCUGAGAGGAUGAUCAGCCACACUGGGACUGAGACACGGCCCAGACUCCUACGGGAGGCAGCAGUGGGGAAUAUUGGACAAUGGGCGCAAGCCUGAUCCAGCCAUGCCGCGUGAGUGAUGAAGGCCUUAGGGUUGUAAAGCUCUUUCAGGUGGGAAGAUAAUGACUGUACCACCAGAAGAAGCCCCGGCUAACUUCGUGCCAGCCGCCGCAGUAACAC